AUUUCUUGAACGUCAUCUGGAGGAAAUGCUCUGUGACUGAGUGGUAAUAAAAACAGAUUUUUAUUAUUUAUUUUUAUCACUUUAAUAUCUGAUACAUCCCCUAUCUGGGGACCAUAUAUUAAAUGGAUUUUUGGGACAGGGAGAUGGAAGAAGAGCUUGCUCUGUCCACUCCACGCAUUGACCUGGUAUUUCAGUACCUCCAGGACCGGUGCACCUCUC